rnacentral:tRNA from 1 species
UUGCACGUAGGAUAUAGUGUAGUCCGUUAGCUUGUGGCGCUAGAAGAUGUAUGACGUGUAAC